rnacentral:piRNA from 1 species
UGUUUUUCUAAGUAACAACAGUCCAGC